AGUGAACGCUGGCGGCAGGCCUAACACAUGCAAGUCGAACGGACGCACAGUAAGAGUGCGCCUCUAAGGGUGGCGAGUGGCGGACGGGUAAGGAAUACAUCGGCUACUACUUUGUCGGGGGGGAUAACGUAGGGAAACUUCUGCUAAUAGCGCAUAUGAUCUACGGGAGAGUGCAGUGGUUAAACGGGCCUUGCGUGAUAGAUUGAGACGAAGUCGGAUUAGCUAGUUGGCGGGGUAACGGCCCACCAAGGCGACGAUCCGUAGCUGGUCUGAGAGGGUGAUCAGCCACACUGGAACUGCGACACGGUCCAGACUCCUACGGGAGGCAGCAGUAGGGAAUCUUCCGCAAUGGGCGCAAGCCUGACCGAGCCAUGCCGCGUGAGUGAUGAAGGCCUUCGGGUUGUAAAGCCCUUUUAUUAGGGAAGAACAACUGUGUAUUUAACCCCCCCCGUUUUGACGGUACCCAAUCAAAAAGCACCGGCUAACUUCGUG
rnacentral:rRNA from 1 species